GCCUGCCCAGUGACCAUGUGUUCAACGGCCGCGGUAUCCUGACCGCGCGAAGGUAGCGUAAUCACUUGUUUUUUAAAUAAAGACUAGUAUGAACGGCCGCACGAGGACCUAACUGUCUCCUUUGUCCAAUCAGUGAAACUGAUCUCCUCGUGCAGAAGCGAGGAUCUUAUCAUAAGACGAGAAGACCCUAUGGAGCUUUAAACUUUUAUUAAUUAUUUUCUUCACCCCUCUAAGGAGCCAACAACUAAUUUAAUUUUUUUAUAAAAGUUUUGGGUUGGGGCGACCAUGGAGGAAAAAAAAUCCUCCCUGAUGACACCUAACUAAGAGCCACAGCUCCAAGUAUUAAGACACUUAACUCCUAUUGACCCAUUUUAUGAUCAACGAACCAAGUUACCCUAGGGAUAACAGCGCAAUCCAUUUCAAGAGUCCUUAUCGACAAAUGGGUUUACGACCUCGAUGUUGGAUCAGGGCAUCCAAGUGGUGCAACCGCUACUAAAGGUUCGUUUGUUCAACGAUUAAAGCCCUACGUGAUCU
rnacentral:rRNA from 1 species